AGCCGUGACAAAGUGGCCGGACAAGCAGAAACGAACUUGCAGCAAACCAAAGCACCAGACACGUACCCUGCAUGUGGAAAGGUAAGGGAGACUCUCCCUCAACAGCUCACUACGGCCUUUGCAUCACGCUCACGCAUUAGUGGGGACACGCUCCUAACAACGCAAGCGGUAAGUUAAUUUAAAGGGCCCAAGAGCUACAGGGAGAAUAAACUCAUUUCCUUGCCUCGGUGGAAACACCGAGCUAGCCUGGCUUGCUAAACUGCUCCCUCCACUCCUCUCCUGAGUAUUUAUACAGUGGAUUAGCAAUACACAACAUAAACGUAUGCUCCAAACUGCUCAAAACAAAACCUGUCUUCAACACACUUGGCAGCCAGGAGUUGGGCUGCUUCUCCUUCCCAAACCCACUCACCACCCUGCCCUAGGGCACAGGGACCACAAGGUCAAAUCUGAGGUCUCGACAACAAGCUCCACCAAGCAAAGGGACGGGGCAGAGGUAAGCGGUACGUUUGGCAGCCCGACCGGCAACGCCCUCCUCAUCAUACCUGGCCACAUGCUUGCUGUUGCAGCUGUCUUCACCCAGCAAGACCAAGGCAAACAAGGGGCCUCGUGCUCCCCCAUGCUCUGCCUCUCGGCCAAAUCUCUCUUCCUUAAUGCCCGUCAUCACUUCCUCCUGCUGGCACUCUUGGGCAACGGACACGAGAGCCAGGCACCCAAAUCUACAGCCUUGGCUGCACAAACCUCUCCAAACUGCAGGAGCAUGGCUUUCUCCUCAGGGUCUAACAGUGCAAUCUGCAUUUCUUACAUGGGGAAAGGAACGCCUCAAAGUCCCCAUGGAUGGGAAACAAAAGCGAUCAUGGCCGACCCUGCCCAACACGGCCACGGCACAAGUCUCAGGGGACAACCUGCUCUCCCACGCCACUUGUCCACCACAAGCUUCCUAAUCCCACCGCUCUCCCCCGCACAUCCCCAAACGGCCACAGAUGCCACAAAGCACUCCCCUGGUUUGGAAACAGAGCUGCCCUUUAGGAGGAGAAGAAUCCAAAGGCCCCCACAGGACAUCAUCAGCUCCAGCCUCCCCAGGGACAGCAGUGCUAGGGCAGGACACAACACGAACCAUCUGUUCACAGCACCUGCCAUCACCUUCCUUUGCUCAAAAGCCACGCCCGUCUACCCGGCGGUGACUGUCAGGUGUUACCUGGCCUCACGUUCAGGAAAAUAUGUUCCGAAAUCUUCUCCACUCCGUUCUGCUUUGCCAAGCACUGGUAGCACCCCUUGAACGACCUCUGUACGUUCUUUAUAAUGAUGCCUUUCUGGGGAUUGGGAAUGAACGUCAUGUUCUUGGGGAGGGGUUUGCCAUCACAUUUUCUCAGUGUGAAAUUU
rnacentral:lncRNA from 1 species